UGUAUUUAUUUGAUCUAGAAUUUGUACAAUUCCAAAGAAACGUAUGUUUCCUUACAUGUGUAAAAUCAGUAUUGCAUGUAUUGCAUAGAUAUAAUUGUACGAUAGUGUUGUAAGAGAACGAAGGGAUUUUAUCGUCUUGCGGAACGCGUAUCGAUACGGAACGAAGGACGUGAUCAGGAAGCCGUGAAAGUAUGAACAACAAAAGUGCCUUAUCCACGGUAGACGAGAGAGUGCAAAUAAUGAUGAAGAUACCUGCGUCGGAAUCGUUUUACAACUCGUACAUUCAAAGGGUAGGAAGGAAACUACUUUCCUAAUGCUGCGUACGUGGACAUUGGAGCACGCGCACAGCACGGAUGAAUCGAUCGAUUAAUAUGGAGAACGUGUAAGUGUGCUUUUGUCCAUUUCUAUGAAUUCUUUAAGCAACACGCUGGCUUGUGUGUG